UGGGGAAUUUUGGACAAUGGGCGAAAGCCUGAUCCAGCAAUGCCGCGUGUGUGAAGAAGGCCUUCGGGUUGUAAAGCACUUUUGUCCGGAAAGAAAUCCUUGGCUCUAAUACAGUCGGGGGAUGACGGUACCGGAAGAAUAAGCACCGGCUAACUACGUGCCAGCAGCCGCGGUAAUACGUAGGGUGCAAGCGUUAAUCGGAAUUACUGGGCGUAAAGCGUGCGCAGGCGGUUUGCUAAGACCGAUGUGAAAUCCCCGGGCUCAACCUGGGAACUGCAUUGGUGACUGGCAGGCUAGAGUAUGGCAGAGGGGGGUAGAAUUCCACGUGUAGCAGUGAAAUGCGUAGAGAUGUGGAGGAAUACCGAUGGCGAAGGCAGCCCCCUGGGCCAAUACUGACGCUCAUGCACGAAAAGCGUGGGGAGCAAAGCAGGAUUAGAUACCCUGGUAGUCCACGCCCUAAACGAUGUCAACUAGUUGUUGGGGAUUCAUUUCCUUAGUAACGUAGCUAACGCGUGAAGUUGACCGCCUGGGGAGUACGGUCGCAAGAUUAAAACUCAAA
rnacentral:rRNA from 1 species